CGCACCAGGCGCAUCUCCACUCUCUCUAUAUAUCCCUCCAUGCGACCUUAUCUCACCGACGUCUGCCUCGCGGCGCAACGCGCCUUCACCCUCUCCUCCUUCUACCGCCUCUGUGUGCCUUGCCGCGGGGCACAUGGAUGCCGACGAUCUACCGUUGCGGAGCGGAUCCUAAGCGCGUCGCCGUGCCCUGCCUGGAGAAGUGGCUAGCCAUGCCGCCAUCUUCUCUCCAUCGAUUGCGUUGAAUGUGUGGGAGAAGCUCGGGCUCCAAAUCUGUGGAGUCAGAUUUGGAUUUUCGAUUUCUGCAUCUUAUUUCCUUUCGGUUAGUCUAGCGAUGGGUGUCUAUGCUGAUUCAUUUGGUGAUAAUCACCCAACAGUAGAUUGGUUACCACAAAUCGACUUGCAACAGAUGAAUCUAAACUCCAGAACUUGUGAGGUAGAAGAAGCCCUCUUCAGCGGCAGCGAGCUGGACGAAGUAGUCGGAGCUUAACUGGCCGGUCUGUUCGGAUAAAGUGGAACGGCGCAGUGGCGGACCACGGCCGGACUCCCAAUAUUUGAGACACCUUUGCCUCUUCCUCAGGAUGUAGACGUUCGUUCCAUACAUGGAUGGUUUCUUCUUGGCUGCCUUUGGGCUCGAGCUGCCACAAGUAUGACUGACAUGCACAGUAUAGCUGCCACAACCGCCAUCAAGUCCAGGUUUAACUGUUGGCCUCUGGAGAAUACUGAAUUUAGCUGAUACGAGUCCAAUGGAAUUUAUGCAUGUGCACAUAUUCAUUAUACCAUUAUAGUCAUGUAUCAUUCUUAAAUAUUUUUGUCAAAUCAUAAUCAUUGUUCUCUUGAUC